CUUCAAUGAACCUCCUAUUGGAGCCAUCAUCAACCAUCCUCAUUGUAAUGAAGGGGAUGGAGCCAAGGAGUAAAAAGGCAGGAAGAAGAGCGAAGAGGAGAGAGAAGCAAGCAACAGGACCAGAAACAGGUCGGCGGCCACGUCCCGGGAGAGGGGUGACGACGCACGUGAGCAGUGGAGCAGCCUUACGCCUGCUGCAGUCUCAUCUUCUUCAUCUGCCCCUACAUUUGAGGAACAACCAAUUCUACCUUUCACAGCAGGAAAUAAAAAAAUCCAGCUGUGAGUGAGCGCACCUGUCUUCGCCUCUGUGUGACCCUGACAGGUUCAUGUAUGAUGAGAGACCUGUGUCGGUGCAUUAAGACAAAUUUAAUUUGCACCUACAGCUGAGUGAGAUGAGGGAGGAGACACUUAUGGGGCAGGACUAAUUGCUGCCUGGGGAUCUGUGUUCAUGUGUGUGCGAUUGUGUGUGUUUUGUGUGUGGCUUGGCUGUCUUUAUGCCAAAAUAAACACUUUAGUGAAUAUUUAAUGCACGUGUUUAUCUGCGUGUGUCUGUCAGCAUGUGAUAACAGAAUGUCAGCAAAGACACAGGAGUUAAUGAGGCCUUUUUUUGCCACCAGGACUGGAUUGAGCAAGGUACACACUACACGCUCUGUGGGCAUUAUUUCUGUGUAUAAUCAUGACUGUCAUGAGUAAUCUGUGCAGCCAUAGUGCAGAGUAUCAGUACAGGUACGUGAAUUCAUCAUCAGUGCAGUAAACUAUCAAUCCACUCGCCAGACAAUUCUGCAAUCCCAGAUACAUCAUUCUUCAGAGCACGGACAGCAGUAGUGUGGGAUCAUGGGAGUCAUUUUCUUCAUUGUUAAUCAACCACAAUUGCUAUUGAAAAUCUAUCUGACAUGACUCAGGAGGAAAUUGUUCUUGGCCCAGUUAAUUUAAGUUUUAUUCAUGUUACGUUUAGUCACAUUCGCCAACUUCCUUCCUUGUAUCUGACAUAUCACACCUUUCCCCCUGAAGUUAUAGCAACUAGAAACGCAACCAUUACCUGUACAGAAUUACAAGUUUCUUCGGGUUUGAACAUUGUUGGAAACAUUUGGGAUCAUCUAAGUACUACAACUCGACAAAAUAUAUAACACAGGUCUAGCGUUUUUAGACAUUUUAAUGUGGAAAUGUGAUACAUUACUAUCUUUAAUUGUUGGCUGUGUAGUUUUAUAACCAUUUAUAUUUUCUAACUAACUAUCCAUAAAUCUGAUUCUCAAUUUAUGUAAAACAUGUUUCCAACACUUAACAUCAUAACUGGAUUAAACAAAUGAUAAUAAUGUAGUCACAUUGACACAUUAAUCUUAUUACUUCCAUAAAAGCAUAUUAAAAUGCCUUAAUAAAACCUUGAAUAUUGAGUGUUUCCACGAAUGUAUGUUGAUAGAAAUGUCUUUCAGUUAGCCAGCUGAUCCAACUCCUUCACUUCUUCUAACAACAAUCUAACACAAUGUCUUGUGUUUGCAUUUCUGAAUAAAGCGAGAGAAAAAGUGCUGUCAGGGGUAAAACUUUUUGUUCUGUGUAAUCUCAUCUGAUGUAGUGCUGCAGUGUUUCCUCUGUCUCUGCACGCUCAUGUCCUCAGCAGGCAGGCUCAUAAAUUGGACAGCUAAGCCUUUCAUAAAGUUUAAUAAA
rnacentral:lncRNA from 15 species